rnacentral:rRNA from 1 species
GACGAACGCUGGCGGCGUGCUUAACACAUGCAAGUCGAGCGGUAAGGCCCUUUCGGGGGUACACGAGCGGCGAACGGGUGAGUAACACGUGGGUGACCUGCCCUCAGCUCUGGGAUAAGCCUGGGAAACCGGGUCUAAAUACCGGAUAUGACUCCAUGACGCAUGUUGUGGGGUGGAAAGCCUUGUGCGGCUGAGGAUGGGCCCGCGGCCUAUCAGCUUGUUGGUGGGGUGAUGGCCUACCAAGGCGACGACGGGUAGCCGGCCUGAGAGGGCGACCGGCCACACUGGGACUGAGACACGGCCCAGACUCCUACGGGAGGCAGCAGUGGGGAAUCUUGCGCAAUGGGCGAAAGCCUGACGCAGCGACGCCGCGUGA